GACGGAGGGUGCUAGCGUUGUUCGGAAUGACUGGGCGUAAAGGGCGCGUAGGCGGCUCGUGAAGUCGGGUGUGAAAGCCCGGGGCUCAACCCCGGAACGGCAUCCGAUACUGGCGGGCUUGAGACCGGGAGAGGAGGGUGGAAUACCCAGUGUAGAGGUGAAAUUCGUAGAUAUUCGCAAGAACACCAGCGGCGAAGGCGGCUCACUGGCCCGAUACUGACGCUGAGGCACGAAAGCGUGGGGAGCAAACAGG
rnacentral:rRNA from 1 species